rnacentral:rRNA from 1 species
CCUACGGGUGGCAGCAGUGGGGAAUUUUCGGCAAUGGAGGAAACUCUGACCCAGCAACGCCGCGUGAAUGAUGAAGGUCUUCGGAUUGUAAAGUUCUUUUCUAAGGGAAGAAGAAAGUGACGGUACCUUAGUAAUAAGCCUCGGCCAACUACGUACCAGCAGCCGCGGUAAUACGUAGGAGGGGAGCGGUCUUCGGGAAGACUGGGCGUAAAGGGGGGGUAGGUGGUUAGGCAAGUUAGUAGUGAAACACCAUGGGUCAAACUUGGAAGUACUACAAAAACUGUUGGACUUGAGUGCAGGAGAGGCAACUGGAAUUACUAGUGUAGCGGUAGAAUGCGUAAAUAUUAGGAGGAACACCAGUGGCGAAGGCGGGUUGCUAGGCUGUAACUGACACUGAGGCACGAAAGCGUGGGGAGCAAACAGGAUUAGAUACCCUGGUAGUC